GUGGGGAGAGAGCUACCACCAACUUGUGACUCUCACUUCUAUUUCUUCUUCCCUCUUCUUCAUCAUGACCUCCUUGCCUCCUCCCACCUCUGCUUCCUCUUCUCAUCUUUAUCCACUGGAAAAAGAAGAGGAGAAGAAAGAAGACCAAUAAAAACCAUGGAACUGCCUCAAGUCAGACAUUGAUAUUCACCUCUGGAUGGAUUGCAGGUUCAGACCUGUGCUCAGAAGGGACCAGCAAUAUUGUUUUAAGGUUAUUGAUUUUAAAGAUGGCAAGGGAGAAAUCCGGGGUCAUUAUGCUGCAAGCACCUGAAGUGAGAAAACCUGUGACAAGGAAAUAGGCUUCUGCAAAGAUAUGAAAGGGCUUUGGAAUUGAUGGAGAGCCACAUCACACUAAAGCUGUGUGAACGCUGGAAGACACCGAAGCAUUACAGUUUGGCGAGCUCAAAUUGUAGGCCUGAAAUCCAGCAUUAUCUUUAAUGACUUGAAGAAGUGAAAAUAUUCAAGCCCAGGUGUCGAAUCACAAUUUCUUGCAAGGCAGCUAUGGACUAAUUCCAGAUGUUUAAGUUGCUUUGCCUCAAUGCAAUUCAUAAAACACCACUGCCUUUUCUGCUUUUAGGAAUAAAGUACUGGAUAGGGA